rnacentral:lncRNA from 10 species
AUGCCUAUGCCAUCUGCAAAUACGCCUUUCUCAUAUCCACUGCCAAAGGGACCAUCAGAUUUCAAUGGACUGCCAAUGGGGACUUAUCAGGCCUUUCCCAAUAUUCAUCCACCUCAGAUACCAGCAACUCCCCCAUCGUAUGAAUCUCUGAUGUGUUCUACCUUGGGCCUGAGUUUUUCUUAUGCUUUGGUUUUGCAUGCGUCACAUAACCCACAGCCGUUGGUAGGAAUGAGGUCGAAAAUCUUCAUCAGUAUUUGAGGACUUGGUUCUUAAGAUAUAUUCAAGAAUGCUUUCCCUUUGCCCAAAGGUGAAAGUAUCAUUAAAGUUGUCUUAGUAUGGUAGAUGACAUUAAUGCUGAUAAGAAUAUCUCUUCUGCACAGAUUGUUGGUCCUGGACCCAAGCCAGAAGCCUCUGCAAAGCUUCCUUCCAGACCUGCAGAUAACUAUGACAACUUUGUCCUACCAGAGUUGCCAUCUGUGCCAGACACACUACCAACUGCAUCUGCUGGUGCCAGCACCUCAGCAUCUGAAGACAUUGACUUUGAUGAUCUUUCCCGGAGGUUUGAAGAGCUGAAAAAGAAAACAUAGGUCUCUUAAACCAGGCAACUUUCACGUUUUGGGAGUUGAGACUGAGCAAUUUCUCCUUGUAACAAAGAAUCUCCAUGAAAUUCUGUUUCAUCUGUUAACCGUCACUCAGCACAACACUCCCUCUGGGCUCUCUUCCUGCUCCUCCAGAUUCUGCUGCUUUCCAGUUCUCUGUUGAUCCUGAGACUAACAAUUGGAGACUGAGGCCAGAGCAACUGGCUCCUGGCAGCUGUGCUUGU